UACGUAGGGGGCAAGCGUUGUCCGGAAUCAUUGGGCGUAAAGCGCGUGUAGGCGGUCCGGUAAGUCCGCUGUGAAAGUCGGGGGCUCAACCCUCGGAUGCCGGUGGAUACUGUCGGGCUUGAGUACGGAAGAGGCGAGUGGAAUUCCUGGUGUAGCGGUGAAAUGCGCAGAUAUCAGGAGGAACACCGAUUGCGAAGGCAGCUCGCUGGGACGUUACUGACGCUGAGACGCGAAAGCGUGGGGAGCAAACAGG
rnacentral:rRNA from 1 species